rfam:Capsicum annuum cultivar Zunla-1 chromosome 9, whole genome shotgun sequence
AAGUGUUGAAGACUUACUUUUAUUUUUGGAAUCUAACUUUGAUGAUUUUUAAAUUGACCUUUUUAACCCUGAGACGUA